rnacentral:rRNA from 1 species
CCUACGGGAGGCAGCAGUGGGGGAUAUUGGACAAUGGGGGAAACCCUGAUCCAGCGACGCCGCGUGAGUGAAGAAGUAUUUCGGUAUGUAAAGCUCUAUCAGCAGGGAAGAAAGAAAUGACGGUACCUGAGUAAGAAGCCCCGGCUAACUACGUGCCAGCAGCCGCGGUAAUACGUAGGGGGCAAGCGUUAUCCGGAAUUACUGGGUGUAAAGGGAGCGUAGACGGUAAUGCAAGUCUGGAGUGAAAGGCGGAGGCCCACCCCCCGGACUGCUCUGGAAACUGUGUAACUGGAGUGCAGGGGAGGCAGGCGGAAGUCCUAGUGUAGCGGUGAAAUGCGUAGAUAUUAGGAGGAACACCAGUGGCGAAGGCGGCCUGCUGGACUGUAACUGACGUUGAGGCUCGAAAGCGUGGGGAGCAAACAGGAUUAGAUACCCUUGUAGUC